rnacentral:rRNA from 1 species
AUUGAACGCUGGCGGCAGGCUUAACACAUGCAAGUCGAGCGGAGUGAUGGUGCUUGCACUAUCACUUAGCGGCGGACGGGUGAGUAAUGCUUAGGAAUCUGCCUAUUAGUGGGGGACAACAUCUCGAAAGGGAUGCUAAUACCGCAUACGUCCUACGGGAGAAAGCAGGGGAUCACUUGUGACCUUGCGCUAAUAGAUGAGCCUAAGUCGGAUUAGCUAGUUGGUGGGGUAAAGGCCUACCAAGGCGACGAUCUGUAGCGGGUCUGAGAGGAUGGUCCGCCACAAUGGGACUGAGACACGGCCCAGACUCCUACGGGAGGCAGGUGUGGGGAAUAUUGGACAAUGGGCGGAUCCCUGAUCCAGCCAUGCCGCGUGUGUGAAGAAGGCCUUAUGGUUGUAAAGCACUUUAAGCGAGGAGGAGGCUCUUUUGGUUAAUACCCAAGAUGAGUGGACGUUACUCGCAGAAUAAGCACCGGCUAACUCUGUGCCAGCCGCCGCGGUAA